CCAGCUGGCUGCAACUGUUUAUUAAAAACACAGCACUGUGCAAACACGAAAGUGGACGUAUACGGUGUGACGCCUGCCCGGUGCCGGAAGGUUAAUUGAUGGGGUCAGCGCAAGCGAAGCUCCUGAUCGAAGCCCCGGUAAACGGCGGCCGUAACUAUAACGGUCCUAAGGUAGCGAAAUUCCUUGUCGGGUAAGUUCCGACCUGCACGAAUGGCGUAAUGAUGGCCAGGCUGUCUCCACCCGAGACUCAGUGAAAUUGAACUCGCUGUGAAGAUGCAGUGUACCCGCGGCAAGACGGAAAGACCCCGUGAACCUUUACUAUAGCUUGACACUGAACAUUGAGCCUUGAUGUGUAGGAUAGGUGGGAGGCUUUGAAGUGUGGACGCCAGUCUGCAUGGAGCCGACCUUGAAAUACCACCCUUUAAUGUUUGAUGUUCUAACGUGGACCCGUGAUCCGGGUUGCGGACAGUGUCUGGUGGGUAGUUUGACUGGGGCGGUCUCCUCCUAAAGAGUAACGGAGGAGCACGAAGGUUGGCUAAUCCUGGUCGGACAUCAGGAGGUUAGUGCAAUGGCAUAAGCCAGCUUGACUGCGAGCGUGACGGCGCGAGCAGGUGCGAAAGCAGGUCAUAGUGAUCCGGUGGUUCUGAAUGGAAGGGCCAUCGCUCAACGGAUAAAAGGUACUCCGGGGAUAACAGGCUGAUACCGCCCAAGAGUUCAUAUCGACGGCGGUGUUUGGCACCUCGAUGUCGGCUCAUCACAUCCUGGGGCUGAAGUAGGUCCCAAGGGUAUGGCUGUUCGCCAUUUAAAGUGGUACGCGAGCUGGGUUUAGAACGUCGUGAGACAGUUCGGUCCCUAUCUGCCGUGGGCGCUGGAGAACUGAGGGGGGCUGCUCCUAGUACGAGAGGACCGGAGUGGACGCAUCACUGGUGUUCGGGUUGUCAUGCCAAUGGCACUGCCCGGUAGCUAAAUGCGGAAGAGAUAAGUGCUGAAAGCAUCUAAGCACGAAACUUGCCCCGAGAUGAGUUCUCCCUGAGACUUUAGGUCUCCUGAAGGAACGUUGAAGACGACGACGUUGAUAGGCCGGGUGUGUAAGCGCAGCGAUGCGUUGAGCUAACCGGUACUAAUGAACCGUGAGGCUUAACCUUA
rnacentral:rRNA from 1 species